GUAAUAAAUUUACUCAAAAAAAUAAAGAAAACGAAAAACAUCCUCGUAUAACAUAUGUUCUUCAUUACCGCAUUAUCAUCUACUUCACUCCGUGUGUAGAAUAAGAAAACUGAUUUGGGAUUUCAUAUCUUCUUUCUCCCUUAGAUUGUAAGGUGAAAAUCAUGGAUUCUGAAGCUCAAGGAUUUAACCCAGGCCUGAUAGUCCUUCUCGUUGUUGGCGGUCUACUCUUUGCAUUCCUUGGUGGGAAUUAUGCACUCUACACCUAUGCGCAAAAGAGCCUUCCUCCCAGGAAGAAGAAGCCUGUCUCUAAGAAGAAGCUCAAAAAGGAAAAAUUGAAGCAAGGUGUCAUUCCACCUGGAGAGUAGACUGCUGCGGCAGUCGCAAUCUUUCCUCUUAUGUUGAGGAAUUGCUAUCACCGUCCAUUAGGUUGAGAACCUUUGUGUUGAUGGUUGUCUAGACUUUUAUCAUCAUUGUAUGUGCAGAAUCAUGUGUAGACCGAGUUCGAGUAACAUUUUUACUUGAUCCUCAAUAAAUCUCCCUAUUUGGAAAGUUUA